rnacentral:misc_RNA from 1 species
GGAAGUAAAAUCGUAACAAGGUUUCCGUAGGUGAACCUGCGGAAGGAUCAUUAAUGAGUUGUCAUGGGGUUCGGUGCUGGCAGCCAAUUUUUGGAUGCAUGUGCUUGCCCUAACAAUCAUCUUCCAAACACCUGUGCACAUUUUUGAGGGAGUCUUGAGUUGGUUGCCGCUCUUGGGUGAUUUUCUCACAUUCCCUUAAAUCAUUAUACGCUAUUAACAAUGUUGAACGUGCUCUGUGCCGCAAGGCUAUUAAUAUAAUACAACUUUUAACAACGGAUCUCUUGGCUCUC